rnacentral:ncRNA from 1 species
CAGAGUAAAAUUUCGGGCGUAUAUUGUUUGAAAUAACAGUAUGAAGUGUUCACCGAACGGGGAGUUGUCGGUGAAACGAAAGAAAAUUCUGCGAUCCGGAGUUUGCAUCCCGCUGU